rnacentral:rRNA from 1 species
UACGGAGGGUGCGAGCGUUGUCCGGAAUCACUGGGCGUAAAGGGCGCGUAGGCGGCGCAGCAAGUCAGCGGUGAAAGCCCGAGCUCAACUUCGGGUCGGCCGUUGAUACUGCUGUGCUCGAGCACUGUAGAGGCAGAUGGAAUUCCGGGUGUAGCGGUGGAAUGCGUAGAGAUCCGGGAAGAACACCGGUGGCGAAGGCGGUCUGCUGGGCAGUUGCUGACGC